GGCGAGUGAAGCGGCAAAAGCUCAAAUUUGAAAUCUGGCGUCUUCGACGUCCGAGUUGUAAUUUGAAGAAGGCGACUUUGUAGCUGGUCCUUGUCUAUGUUCCUUGGAACAGGACGUCAUAGAGGGUGAGAAUCCCGUGUGGCGAGGAUCCCAGUUAUUUGUAAAGUGCUUUCGACGAGUCGAGUUGUUUGGGAAUGCAGCUCUAAGUGGGUGGUAAAUUCCAUCUAAAGCUAAAUAUUGGCGAGAGACCGAUAGCGAACAAGUACAGUGAUGGAAAGAUGAAAAGAACUUUGAAAAGAGAGUGAAAAAGUACGUGAAAUUGUUGAAAGGGAAGGGCAUUUGAUCAGACAUGGCGUUUGCUUCGGCUUUCGCUGGGCCAGCAUCAGUUUUAGCGGUUGGAUAAAUCCUCGGGAAUGUGGCUCUGCUUCGGUAGAGUGUUAUAGCCCGUGGGAAUACAGCCAGCUGGGACUGAGGAUUGCGACUUUUGUCAAGGAUGCUGGCGUAAUGGUUAAAUGCCGCCCGUCUUGAAACACGGACCA
rnacentral:rRNA from 1 species